rnacentral:rRNA from 1 species
GAUGAACGCUGGCCGCGUGCCUAAUACAUGCAAGUCGAGCGAACGGACGAGAAGCUUGCUUCUCUGAUGUUAGCGGCGGACGGGUGAGUAACACGUGGAUAACCUACCUAUAAGACUGGGAUAACUUCGGGAAACCGGAGCUAAUACCGGAUGAUAUUUUGAACCGCAUGGUUCAAAAGUGAAAGACGGUCUUGCUGUCACUUAUAGAUGGAUCCGCGCUGCAUUAGCUAGUUGGUAAGGUAACGGCUUACCAAGGCAACGAUGCAUAGCCGACCUGAGAGGGUGAUCGGCCACACUGGAACUGAGACACGGUCCAGACUCCUACGGGAGGCAGCAGUAGGGAAUCUUCCGCAAUGGGCGAAAGCCUGACGGAGCAACGCCGCGUGAGUGAUGAAGGUCUUCGGAUCGUAAAACUCUGUUAUUAGGGAAGAACAUAUGUGUAAGUAACUGUGCACAUCUUGACGGUACCUAAUCAGAAAGCCACGGCUAACUACGUG